rnacentral:rRNA from 1 species
UACGUAGGGGGCAAGCGUUAUCCGGAAUUACUGGGUGUAAAGGGAGCGUAGACGGUUAAGUAAGUCUGGAGUGAAAGGCCGGGGCCCAACCCCGGGACUGCUCUGGAAACUAUGUUACUGGAGUGCAGGAGAGGUAAGCGGAAUUCCUAGUGUAGCGGUGGAAUGCGUAGAUAUUAGGAGGAACAUCAGUGGCGAAGGCGACUAUCUGGACAGCAACUGACACUGAGGCACGAAAGCGUGGGGAGCAAACAGG